GUACCUGUGACUGGAGUUCAGACGUGUGCUCUUCCGAUCUUUUUCAGAGAGGUGGUGCAUGGCCGUCGUCAGUUCGUACUGUAAAGCGUUCUGUUAAGUCAGAUAACGAACGAGACCCUCAUCUCUAUUUGCUACCUGGUUCUCCGGAAUCAGCGCACUAUAGGGAGACCGCUGGUGUGAAACCAGAGGAAGGGGAGGGCAACGACAGGUCAGUAUGCCCCGAAUGUCCUGGGCUACACGCGCGCUACAAAGGACGGGACAAUGGGAAGCCAGGCCGAGAGGCCGAGCUACCCCGAAACCCGUUCAUAGUUCGGAUCGUGGGCUGUAACUCGCCCACGUGAAGCUGGAUUCCGUAGUAAUCGUGUUUCAAUAUAGCACGGUGAAUAUGCCCCUGCUCCUUGCACACACCGCCCGUCAAACCAUCUUAGUUGGGGGUGGGUGAGGCUGCGCUUACUUCGGUAUGGCGUAUUCGAGCCUGCCUUCGACAAGGAGGGUUAAGUCGUAACAAGGUAUCUGAG
rnacentral:rRNA from 1 species